rnacentral:rRNA from 1 species
AUACGGAGGGUGCGAGCGUUAAUCGGAAUUACUGGGCGUAAAGCGUACGUAGGCGGUUGGUUAAGUUAGAUGUGAAAGCCCCGGGCUUAACCUGGGAACUGCAUUUAAAACUGGCGAACUAGAGUUGAGUAGAGGGGAGUGGAAUUUCAGGUGUAGCGGUGGAAUGCGUAGAGAUCUGAAGGAACACCAGUGGCGAAGGCGACUCCCUGGACUCGAACUGACGCUGAGGUACGAAAGCGUGGGUAGCAAACGGGAUUAGAAACCCGAGUAGUCC